GGUAGCAUCAAAGGGUGUUUGGUCCAAGUUUGUCAUGGGCUUACGUGGCUGGAUGCCAUGGCAAACUGCCCGCACUCUGGAGCUUGCCAGCUGGGCUGGUAGCUUGCAAGAAUCCUGUAGAAGACAACAAAGAUGUUACUUGCACACUGAAGAAAAGCCAUGCACAGCCACACAGUGAGAAUAACUGCAGUGGCCCACCCGUGACCCACGCUGCAAACAUGUUAAAAAGUUAAGUGCAUUUCAGCAGGUCCCACAGCUUGGCAGCCUUGCUCAGUGCUUGUGAUGAGCGGUUACGACCCGUCCCCAUGCAGGUUGACGUGAAUCCAGGUUGAAAAUCUUGCAUUGGCUUCUUGCUCUGCAUGUGAACUAGUUGUGACGACCAUGGUUGGGUCAGUAUCUGGCUAGUUGACUGUUGAGCUUGCAAAAGUGUGACACCG